rnacentral:other from 1 species
AGAACCACCUUCGGUGUAAAGCUGGAAAUAGCUUGUCUUUAAAUUCCAUAUUUUAGUUUUCCAUUUUGUUGCACUUUAAAGGAACACCAAAAAACC